rnacentral:misc_RNA from 1 species
GAGAAUCAGAGCGGGCUUGAGUCCCGUAUCUCACUCUAUAACACACUGUGAACUGUUUCGGUCGGUCGAGGUAAAACUCGGUCGGGGGCGCCGCAAUUGAAUUUGCCACCCAAAUUAUCUUUUUAAACACCAAGUUAUGGAUGUCAACACCGCAGGGUGUAUUAUAAAAAGUUAAA